CUAAUCUUAUAAACUAAUAUGUCAAAAACAUGUUCAAGAUGAUCCUAUGGAGAUGUGAUCCCUCAAUGAGCUGAAAAAGAAUCUUUUAAAGCAAUUUUUGUAUAUAUAUUUGAGAUUGUUGGAGCUUAAAUUCAGAUUUAUAAAACAAAAGUAUAAUGUUUUAAUGAUUCUUGACCCUGUUUUCCCCUGCUGUCAGUUAUACUCUUCUUUCAUCAUCAUCUGAACUUAUGAUUUCCCCAAUUAUUGGGAACCUCUCCA
rnacentral:lncRNA from 1 species